rnacentral:pre_miRNA from 1 species
UUUAAGUGCAGCUAUAAGUUUUCGUGUCCAACUUUGAUUGCUCGUCUUAUUUUUAUAUAUAUAAUUAGUAUUUUUAUUGUUAUGAGAUAAUAAAACAUGAAUAGUACUUUAUACAUGGCUUAUGUUUUUAAAUCUUUUUUACAAAAAAUUAAAUAAGACGAAUGGCUUAUGUUUUUAGAUUUUUUUUAAAAAAAUUAAAUAAGACGAACAGUUAAAGUAGUGCAUAGAAAAUCAUAGUUGCAUUUAAA